rnacentral:rRNA from 1 species
UGGGGAAUAUUGUACAAUGGGCGCAAGCCUGAUGCAGCAACGCCGCGUGGAGGAAGACGGUUUUCGGAUUGUAAACUCCUGUUCUUAGUGAAGAAAAAUGACGGUAGCUAAGGAGCAAGCCACGGCUAACCACGUGCCAGCAGCCGCGGUAAUACGUAGGUGGCAAGCGUUGUCCGGAAUUACUGGGUGUAAAGGGAGCGCAGGCGGAAGGACAAGUUGGAAGUGAAACCCACGGGCUCAACCCGUGAACUGCUUUCAAAACUGUUUUUCUUGAGUGGUGUAGAGGUAGGCGGAAUUCCCGGUGUAGCGGUGGAAUGCGUAGAUAUCGGGAGGAACACCAGUGGCGAAGGCGGCCUACUGGGCACUAACUGACGCUGAGGCUCGAAAGCAUGGGUAGCAAACAGGAUUAGAUACCCUGGUAGU